GGUAUAGAAGUAGACAUGUCAUUGCCUGCUGGAGGGAGAGAAUGCUUCAAAGAUUGGCUCAACCUGACUCUUCCCUUGACAUGAGUGUCCUUGAUUCCAUCCUUCGCACUCUAAUUGUCCAGAGUUGCAGUCAAUCCUAACCAGCAAGAAAUGGAAAAGACCGUAUACCAAAUGGAAAGAACAAAGCCUUGUGAUAGACACUAUACUUGAAAACGUCCUAAAAUGUAACAAUGACGGGCAUCAGUCUUGGAUCCACAAUCUGAGGGGAGGAGGAAGACGUGCGAGGAAAUCUCAGUCUUUGCUGAAGACGACAAGUCGGAUUGUGUUAAUUACAGAAUAGUUUCCCUGUUGUCUACUACUGGGAAAGUCAUCAGCAGUGGCCUCUUUAUUUAUCUCCAACCAUUAGCUGAAAACUUGCUCAUCAAAUUGCCGUUUGGAUUUCAUCCACCUUGAGGUACUGUGCGCCCGACUUUUCAUGCAUGAUAAAUGUAAGAGAAAGCUAUUAAUACCAUCAAAUCCUAGAGGUUCAAACACAAAGU